UUCACUAAUACAAAAAUGAAAUAUAGUAGUAUAACUAAGGAAGAAGCGGAAAAAAACACUAAAAAUUGGAAAAUUUAUUCCAUUAUAUUUACACUUAAUUGUUUUUUCCCCGCUUCUUUCCUUUUUCUGAUUCUUUUUGUUUCCUCCCCUUUUCAAUUUCGUAAACAUUCUUAUUCACAGAAACGAAAAAACUGUGAACCUCCUUAAAGGAAAAUGAAAAAAGCAGUUCGUUUAUUCAAGCUCCUUGAUGAUACGAUUUACUAUGAGCAAGAAGAGUGAAAGAAGAAGAGAGGGUGGCGAACUACAGAAGAAGAAAACAAUAAAUGAUGACAAACUAUUUGUGGCAUUUUGUGAAAUCGCAUCAACAUUAAGAAGGUUGUGUCUCCAAAGUUAUCAAAGCCAUUUGACGUUUCAAAGGUUUAUCUUUAAUGACCUGUUCAGCUAAAAUAUCAAAUAAAUUAACCUUUUUUUUUUCAAAGUUGAGUUUGAUACGGUUAGUAUUUUCUUUUUUUAUGGUACACAAAUUAACAGUUGUAAAUAAAAUUAUUUGUUCUUCCAUCCGACGAAUUGUAUAAUCUCUUAAUUAAAUUUACGCAUCCUGCCUUUAUGCUUUUCAA